rnacentral:rRNA from 1 species
CCUACGGGUGGCAGCAGUGAGGAAUAUUGGUCAAUGGACGAGAGUCUGAACCAGCCAAGUAGCGUGAAGGAUGACUGCCCUAUGGGUUGUAAACUUCUUUUAUAUGGGAAUAAAAUGUUCCACGUGUGGGAUUUUGUAUGUACCUUAUGAAUAAGGAUCGGCUAACUCCGUGCCAGCAGCCGCGGUAAUACGGAGGAUCCGAGCGUUAUCCGGAUUUAUUGGGUUUAAAGGGAGCGUAGGUGGAUUGUUAAGUCAGUUGUGAAAGUUUGCGGCUCAACCGUAAAAUUGCAGUUGAUACUGGCAGGCUUGAGUACAGUAGAGGUGGGCAGGAUUCGUGGGGUAGCGGUGAAAUGCUUAGAUAUCACGAAGAACUCCGAUUGCGAAGGCAGCUCACUGGACUGCAACUGACACUGAGGCUCGAAAGUGUGGGUAUCAAACAGGAUUAGAUACCCUAGUAGUC